AGCUCCAGUAGCGUAUAUUAAAGUUGUUGCACUUAAAAAGCUCGUAGUUGGUGAUUCGUUUCCUGCUUGUUCGUGCUUUGGUACGGACUUUGCUGGGGUCGAUAUUUGGGUGUUUCACCUAAACACACUGUGAAUAAAUCAGAGUGAUCUAAACAGGCUUUGCUUGAAUGUUUCAGCAUGGUAUGGGUUCUCGACUACGCUGUCUGCCGGCAUCGGUAUAGUUAGCGGAGUAAAGGUUAAUAGAGACAGACGAUGGAAUUCGUAUUGAGUUGCUAGAGGUGAAAUUCUUAGACCAACUCAAGACGACCAGAAGCGAAAGCGUUUUUCACGUAUGCUCUUG
rnacentral:rRNA from 1 species